GACGAACGCUGGCGGCGUGCCUAAUACAUGCAAGUAGAACGCACAGUUUAUACCGUAGCUUGCUACACCAUAGACUGUGAGUUGCGAACGGGUGAGUAACGCGUAGGUAACCUGCCUGGUAGCGGGGGAUAACUAUUGGAAACGAUAGCUAAUACCGCAUAAUAUUAAUUAUUGCAUGAUAAUUAAUUGAAAGGUGCAAUUGCACCACUACCAGAUGGACCUGCGUUGUAUUAGCUAGUAGGUGAGGUAACGGCUCACCUAGGCGACGAUACAUAGCCGACCUGAGAGGGUGAUCGGCCACACUGGGACUGAGACACGGCCCAGACUCCUACGAGAGGCAGCAGUAGGGAAUCUUCGGCAAUGGACGAAAGUCUGACCGAGCAACGCCGCGUGAGUGAAGAAGGUUUUCGGAUCGUAAAGCUCUGUUGUAAGAGAAGAACGGGUGUGAGAGUGGAAAGUUCACACUGUGACGGUAUCUUACCAGAAAGGGACGGCUAACUACGUG
rnacentral:rRNA from 1 species